ensembl:lncRNA
GUCCAUCAGAGCUGAGCUGCUUUCAGACGACUCCGUCUUGUUGUGGAUGCUGAAGCUGAUCAUGGUUCUCCUGUGGAUGAUCCUGUUGGUGCUUCUGCUCUGUGCAGAGGCCGAGAACGUGACCGAGGUCGGAGGAGAGCUGGGGACCAAUAUCACUCUAACCUGCUCCAAUCAGACAUCAGACCCAUACUGGUACAUGGAGAUCUACAGUCAGUUCAGAGCAGGUAUCGGUCGCAGUUUUUCCUCAGCAGACUCUACCUACUACUCUCCUGGUUUUGAAACCAAAUUUUUAAUCCUGGGAAACAAACUCGUGAUUAAAAGCUUGACAGCAGAGGACUGCAGGCUUUACUUCUGUGGCAUCAAGAGAGGAGGCAGCAUUCAGUUUGUGGAGACUUUCCGCGUCAUCUCAGGUAAGUGCCAGAGUUUAUUUAACUUUAUUAUUUAUUGUUCAGGCCCCAUGAUCCGUUAGUGGUAAAGCAUACUUUGAAAAACCUGACAGUGUCAAGUAAGUGGCAAAGUUUUUGUUUUGUUUUACAUUACGUCCUGUAUGGAGUAACACAGUGUGAAGUAGCUUCAUUCUCGCAUCAUGGGCUUUUUUUUUUUUUUUUUUAAAUUGACUGAUUUUAAUUUUAUUUGAACAGCUUUCUUUGCGUCUCGCUGGUGUUUAGGUCUGGAUUUCUUUGCAGUACAUUACAUUUUGUAUCAGCACAUCUCAGAGUUAACAUUCUGUUUGCCACUUUCUGAAAUAUUUUCCUCUAUUUCUGUUGAAUGUGAGGUCUUGUUGUGUGUAUGAAAAUACUGCAUUAUGUGGUUAGGUUAUUUUUAAACCGGGUCGGGGAUGAGUUCCUGCCCCAAGUGGAGGAGUUCAAGUAUCUCGGGGUCUUGUUCGCGAGUGAUGGAAGAAGGGAGCCGGAGAUUGACAGACGGAUUGGGGCUGCAGCUGCUGUAAUGCGGACGCUGCACCGGUCCAUCGUGGUGAAGAGGGAGCUGAGUGUAAAAGCGAAGCUCUCAAUUUACCGGUCGAUCUACGUCCCUACCCUCACCUAUGGCCACGAGCUGUGGGUAGUGGCCGAAAGAACGAGAUCGCGGAUACAAGCGGCGGAAAUGAGCUUCCUCCGAAGGGUGGCUGGCCUCUCCCUUAGAGAUAGGGUGAGAAGUUCGGCCAUCCGGGAGGGACUCAGAGUAGAGCCGCUGCUGCUCCACAUCGAAAGGAGUCAGCUGAGGUGGUUCGGGCAUCUGACAAGGAUGCCCCCUGGGCGCCUCCUGGGUGAGGUGUUCCAGGCAUGUCCCACCGGGAGGAGGCCCCGGGGAAGACCCAGGACACGCUGGAGAGAUUAUAUCUCUCGGCUGGCCUGGGAACGCCUUGGUAUUCCCCCGGAUAAGCUGGAGGAGGUGGCUGGGGAGAGGGAGGUCUGGGCCUCUUUGCUUAGGCUGCUGCCCCCACGACCUGGCCUCGGAUAAGCGGUUGAAGAUGGAUGGAUGGAUGGAUGGAUGGAUGGUUAUUUUUAAAUAUCAAUAUUUGUUCUCAACUCCAACCUGCAGAACACCGUUGAGCAGCACAAAUGGGAAUGGUUGUUGGUGAUAAACAAGUGAGGGAACACGUUUUUACCAGCUUAGCAUUUUAUAUCAGCUCUUCGAGGGAACAAGCCAGCAGGAAGCUGCGCUGAGUGAGCCGAUUAAACAAAUAUUCUAAAAAUUUUAAUGUGCAGCUCUUUUGCAUCUGUCUGUUACACUCAGCGGGUUAAAUUUGGAACCAGUUCAGGGUCCAAUUCAUUUAUUAUGUAAGUGGAAAGGGUGCAUCAAUGGUAAUACACACAUGUGCAUAUGCAUACGUAGCUGAUGGUGUGUUACUGAUGGAAAAGUCAUUUCCAUUUUACUGUGCUUACCUUCUAUGUUGAUGAGAGAAAGUACUCAUUAACAUAGCUUUGAAGUGUCAACAUCCAACAGUGUAGAUGCUGCAGUCAGUGAACAUAUUGUAAAUAAACACACAUAAUUAUUCUAAAAAAAAAAAAAAGUAAGUCCUAAAAUUAAACAGAAUUCACUCAUCUGGAAAUUUACUGAAUCCACAGUUUAUCACAUCUACUACUUUUUUUGCCUUUUCUAAGCUUUCCACUUUAAAGGUCAAAGUAGUUGAUCUGAACAUAUCUAACACUUGAUUUGGUGACACUCACUUUCACCACAAAUUCAAGGAAGCGUCUAGCAUGCGAUGUGUACACAUAGCUAUUUUCUCUCUUUUAAAAAACAAAAAGUAAAUUCUCUCAAGGUGUCCUUGGUGUUGUUGGUGGUGAUUGAGUCCACUUUAGGACAGGAGAUAAUAAAUAACGUAACAAGUUUACCAACCAAGAAGUUGUCUCGUGUUUGGAUGCUGUGUCUUUGAAUCUCACUGGUUAGUUUCAUUUGCACUUUAUCUGGUUACAUCUGGUUACAAAAAAACUAAAAACCUGUUUAACUUUAAAAAAGAUGGUAAUUAAAAAUAAAACACUUCACCAUGCACACUUAAAAAUGAAAACUUCCAGUGCACUGUGAGAAUGACAAUGAGACCUCUCAAUCAUCUGAACCUGAUGAGCAAGAAAAACAAACAUAACACGUACAUAUCCACUGCUUUACAAAACUGUUUGCUAGCUAUUGACGCUUAUAGUUGAUCACUUCUAAAUAAUAAUAAAGUUCAAAAACAGUUUUAAAGUGUGAGCUUUACUCUAGUGAAAACGCAAAGAAAGGUCAUGACUUGUGAAUCUAACAGUUUCUCAGCUCAUCUUUCCUCUUUUUUUGUCAGAUGUCACCCUAAACAUCACCGACCCCCAAAUCGACUGCAGACUCAGUCAGCUCAUCAUCAUCUGUGUCUCUGUUACUGUUGUCGUGUUUGUAAUACUGGGUGCUGUUUUUACAGUGUUGUGUUUGAAGAGAAAAUCCAGAAGGAUCCAGAAGAAUAAUGUUUCACUUCACAUCUAUGAGAACACAGACACACUGAGGGCUGCGCAGAACAAGGUGAUCCAGUCCCAACGGGCAAAAGCUCACUGAAAGACUUCUUUACCCGUAAGCUGAAAGAUGUUGCUUUUGUGGACAAUUUGAAUUGUUUCACAUUUAACCCCCAAAAUACAUUUUCAUGCAUUUUUGUCUACUGCAGGACAUAAAUUGACAUUUUGUGUAUUAUCAGGAUUGUAAGAAAACAGCUGCGUACUUAUGAUGUAAAACUUCAUAUAAAAAUGUGAUGUGCUUCAAGUGUCAGCUGGAACCCUUUGAACAUGUGAAGUGCAGCUUAAGAGAGUCUGAAACCUAUUAAGCUAAAAAUUGAAAGCAUGUCUGAAACUUUAAGGGCUGCAUCCACAAGGCACUAAGUGAAUGUGGUAGCACUAUUUAUAACAGUAUCACAUGACUAACUAUAGUGACUGAAGUACAAACAUAUAUAAUGUCAACAGUAAUGUCAACAGCAUAUUGUAUUUGUAGUAGUACGUAUAGAAUUGCAUGUAAACUGCUUAGCAAUACAUACAUUAAAGACUAUUUUUGCGGUUGUACUAAAAGCAGCUCUAAUAAACAGGAUUGUGGGUAAUUGAAGUAGCAUUUGUAGUUUUUAAAGCAGUAUAAUAUUAUGUAUCUGUAAGUUAGCUAACAAUUCUGUUAGCACAAAUACUUCUUUUGUCCAACGCUUGUCUAAAAGUGUAAAAACAAAGCGUGAAAAAGGAAGUGAUUUCCUGAGUUAAUUAUACACUUUCCUGAGAAACAACUACUCACACUGAGGCGGCUCUAAAGCCCAGUGGCCUCCUUUUCUGUUACUCCCUGGAAACUCAGUUAAAUUAGCAUUUCAGACUUUUUUUAAAAGAAUUACUGGAAUACAUGAAUCAUUCAGCUUUGACUGUUCAUCUGCUUUUACCCACAUUGUCCAGCAGCCUACCACACAAUCAGACAUCCUGAUUCAAGAUGUCUGUGUAGCCGAUCUCUCCUGCGUCCACACAGGAAGUGAUGCAUCAGCCAGUGGCAAUAGGUGAUGAAUAACUUUCCACCAGUUCAAGUAAGAAUGAGCAAAAAUAACUGGUGUUUAAUUUGAAAGUUAGCGAGUGAAAUUAUUACAGAUGAGAGUGAAAUAAAGAAUAGAUUGACAUGUGACAUAUGAGGAAAUGCUUUACAGUGGGAUGCAACCUUGGUAAUAGUCAUUGUUUUCCUGUAUAUAUUGUUGGUUGCUACAAUAAAAAGUUUCAGUUAAAUAUAUCAUAUUGAACUACUCUACUAACUACGAUACUCUGAAGCUACACUUCAGAGAAAAUUAAAAGAGGUGGGAAACUUACAAUUGACCCCCUUAAAUACUCUUUCUCAUUAUUGGAUUCACCUGUGUAUGUAGGUCAGGGGUCCCUGAGCUUACCAAGCCAAUUUGAGUUCCAAUAAUUAGUUCUAAAGGUUUUGAAAUCAAUAAAAUGACAACAGUGCCCAAAUUUAUGCACCUGCCUGAUUUUGUUUAAACAAUUAUUGCACACUUUCUGUAAAUCCAAUAAACUUCAUUUCACUUCUCAAAGAUCACUGUGUGUGUCUCCUAUAUCAGCGGUCCCCAACCCCCGGGCCUCGGACCGGUCCCGGUCCAUGAGUCGUUUGGUACCGGGCCGGGAGAGUUGAGGCUCAGGUGUGAAAUGUAUGGUUUUCAAAAAAGGUUGGGGACCGCUGUCCUAUAUGAUAUAUUUAACUGACAUUUUCUAUUGUAACAACCAAUGAUUAAUACAGGAAAACAAUGACUAUUAACAAGGUUGCCCAAACUUUUGCAUCCCACUCUACAUGGUUACUUAGGCAACUGGAUUCAAUUUAGAUAAAUAUGAUUAAAUUAAAGAAAAUCACUGAAAUUGAUUGAACCCUUUUUUGAGUGGAUGGAUUGUAAAAUUACACAGCUUCUGUGACAUGUAAAAACGCUUUUGUGUCAUUUAAAUAUUCAUCUAUUAUUUAUUAACUGGGAGGUUUUGACUUUGGUGUUAUUGGAAAGAGCUUCAUGCUUCCAGAAUUAAAAUCACCCCAUCAAACAGAUGUAGAACCAAAAACAAGUCUUCUUUCAAACAAACUGUACAAAUGACAACACCUGAACAUACCUGAAAUAAAUGAGUAAAUUAAUUUACAAUCACACUGUAUAUAUUUGUUUCAACAUACAGGAAGAACACGUUCUAUAGCUACACUUGCCUGUAGGGGUCACUGCUGAG